rnacentral:snRNA from 1 species
CGGAUCCCAUCAGAACUCCG